rnacentral:rRNA from 1 species
UACGUAGGGGGCAAGCGUUGUCCGGGUUUAUUGGGCGUAAAGAGCUCGUAGGUGGUUCGGUAAGUCGGAUGUGAAAUCUCCAGGCUCAACCUGGAGGGGUCAUUCGAUACUGCCGUGACUAGAGGUCGGUAGGGGAGUGUGGAAUUCCUGGUGGAGCGGUGAAAUGCGCAGAUAUCAGGAGGAACACCCGUAGCGAAGGCGGCACUCUGGGCCGAUACUGACACUGAGGAGCGAAAGCGUGGGGAGCGAACAGG